rnacentral:rRNA from 1 species
CCUACGGGCGGCAGCAGUCGAGAAUCAUUCACAAUGGGGGAAACCCUGAUGGUGCGACGCCGCGUGGGGGAAUGAAGGUCUUCGGAUUGUAAACCCCUGUCAUGUGGGAGCAAAUUAAAAAGAUAGUACCACAAGAGGAAGAGACGGCUAACUCUGUGCCAGCAGCCGCGGUAAUACAGAGGUCUCAAGCGUUGUUCGGAAUCACUGGGCGGAAAGCGUGCGGAGGCUGUUUCGUAAGUCGUGUGUGAAAGGCGCGGGCUCAACCUGCGGACGGCACAUGAUACUGGGAGACUAGAGUAAUGGAGGGGGAACCGGAAUUCGCGGUGUAGCAGUGAAAUGCGUAGAUAUCGAGCGGAACACUCGUGGCGAAGGCGGGUUCCUGGACAUUAACUGACGCUGAGGCACGAAGGCCAGGGGAGCGAAAGGGAUGAGAUACCCCAGUAGUC